rnacentral:rRNA from 1 species
CUACGGAGGGGGCUAGCGUUGUUCGGAAUUACUGGGCGUAAAGCGUACGUAGGCGGACUGACCAGUUGGGGGUGAAAUCCCAGGGCUUAACCCUGGAACUGCCUUCAAUACUGUCAGUCUUGAGUUUGGGAGAGGUGAGUGGAAUUCCUAGUGUAGAGGUGAAAUUCAUAGAUAUUAGGAGGAACACCAGUGGCGAAGGCGGCUCACUGGCCCAUUACUGACGCUGAGGUACGAAAGCGUGGGGUGCAAACAGGAUUAGAAACCCUAGUAGUCC